rnacentral:misc_RNA from 1 species
AAUCUGUAUCCAGCGUCCAGCGGAGCGCGACUCUGUUUGGCAACACAACAGCAGCAAACAUAAUGACAUAAUUGCCGGAGGAGCGACGGGGGGCAAUGCGGGGCGCAUGCGCCGGUUUGACGGCCAAGGUCGAGGCCGCGCGAUUCUGCCGCGCGCCGCCGCGUCGGCAAGUCUCUUGUGUGCCCUCUUUCUCGAAACUAUUUCUAUAAGGGGUAAUGCGCAAUAAACGCCGCGAGUGCACCCUCUACACUACCCUGCCAUCGCCACAAAGGUGAAGCGAAAUGCCAGUGUGCAAAGUUGCGAUCGUAUCGCGUCGUGUCGGAAAUCUGCUGGUGAACAUCACGUGCAUUUCUCUGGCGCGCGACCAGUUCCCGAUAUGCAAUAGCGGACAUGAAAAAUUACUGGAAGCGCUGUUAUCUACCAUAUUUUAACGAAAAAAAAAAAAUCAAGUAAAUAACGUUUUGGCGGGAAAAAAAUUCACUACCCUAGAGGCAGUAAAAAAAAUCCUUUGAAGAGUUUCUUGCCUCCCGUCCAGCAGGAUUUUUCAAGAAAGGCACCAAUAAUUUACGUUGGCAAAAAUACAUUGCUUCCAUGGGUAAACUUUGCAUAAUAAAAAUGAAAAAUAUAGAAAAAAAUUGCGUUAACUUAUUUAAUCAAAAACGGCAAUUUCAUAGGUAAAGAUCUAUUAUAUAAGAAACUAUUUACCUGUGUUUAUGUAUUUUAAUCCAACGUCCAAGAAAAACCCAUUAAUAAUAUUACUAUCACGUAACAAAGAAAAGGAACACGAACGAAAAAUUAACUAAAGCUGGCACGUACAACAAAUUUAAAUACUUACUAUAAUUAUACUAACUGAGGUAGGGCACAGCAGGAAUUUCCUGCUCAAAAUAUGGAGCAGCCCGAGUGGGGUAGUA